rnacentral:rRNA from 1 species
AUACGGAGGGUGCAAGCGUUGUCCGGAUUUAUUGGGUUUAAAGGGUGUGUAGGCGGCCCGUUAAGUCAGUGGUGAAAGGUAUCAGCUUAACUGAUGAAGUGCCAUUGAAACUGAAGGGCUUGAGUACAGACGAGGUAGGCGGAAUUUAUGGUGUAGCGGUGAAAUGCAUAGAUACCAUAAAGAACACCGAUAGCGAAGGCAGCUUACUAGACUGAGACUGACGCUGAGGCACGAAAGCGUGGGGAGCAAACAGGAUUAGAAACCCCAGUAGUCC